UCUCUUCCUAUGUGCCAUCUCUUUCCUAUGUAAAGGGAAGACCAGAGAACAGAGCUGACCAGGCAGGCUGAAGAAAAAUGUCCUGUAGUUCCCAGCCCUGGAAAAACAAGAGCUCCUUCAUUCCAAGCUUCUGCCAGGUUAGGUCUGCCAGGGGACUGACCAAGCCCAGACAACCAGCCAAUCCUAAAGGAAAUCAACCUUGAAUAUUCAUUGGAAGGAUGGAUGCUGAAGCUGAAGCUCUAAAACUUUGGCCACCUGAUGAGAACAGCUGACUCAAUGGGAGACCCUGAUGCUGGGAAAGAUUGAAGGCAGGAGAAGGGGGUGACAGAGGGAUGAGAUGGUUGGAUGGCAUCACUGACUCAAUGGACAUGAGUUAUGAACAGACUUGGGGAGACGGUGAAAGACAGGGAAGCCUGGUGUGCUGCGGUCCAUGGGGUCGCAAAGAGUCAGACAUGACUGAGCGACUGAACAAUGGUCAUCUGUCUUUAGCCUCGAGGGCAGCCACAGGCAGAGGCUGUUCUUUCCUCAACAGGGAGCAGCAGCAGACUGAUCAGGAGGGGGAUCAACAAUGCCCAAGUUGCCCAGCUGUCUGAAAAUAUUUACCACAUCUUUGGGGCAGGUUUUGCCAUUCUUGCCAAAGAUACAAAGCUCUGUGGCUGAUGAGUCACUGGCGAGAUUUCUGUUUCUCAACAUCGGUUCCCUGUUGCUACUGCAGGGCGAAUGCAGGCUAGGACUCCACAUCAUUUGCUUGACUGCUAGGCAGGUAUUCAACUCCAGACUGGAGAAAGUCUGGAGUAAAACUACAGUUGGUAGCUGAGUAAGGAAUAUGAUUUUCAUUAAAAAAAAAAAAAAAAAAAAAAAUUUUUUUUUAAAUUAUAUAUCUUUAUUUGACUGCAAUGGAUCUGCUGCAGCAUGUGGGAUCUAGUUCCCUGACCAGGGAUCAAACCCUGGCUCCCCCCUCCAUUGGAAGCAUGGAGUCUUAGCCAGUAGGGAAGUCCCCAAAACCCAUUUCUUUGUACUUACAUUCUCUGUCCUUCAAGAACUGCCUUGCUGAGUUUUUCUGGUCAUCUUUAAACUGUAUUUUCAGUUAGGCCUAGGAAACUAUUUUCUGUUGUUCCCUAAUACUGGACUAAGCUAACUUUCCAUUACUGGUAUAAGAGAAAAUUUCAAAAGCAGACAAUGCUUUGUUCACCCCAGACACCGGACACCAUCCACAGCUGCUGAGAAUAAAACAUCUCAGUGAGGCAUUUAUUAGCCAGAAAACAUUUUUUCACUUACAUGAAACCUUAGAGACUGAAGUGACAGUCAACUGCAAGCAAUAAAUGCUUAAUGGCUUAGUUAGCCUGAACUUUGAAGAGACCUCCCAAAUACUCUAAGCCAACUGCAAAGAAAACUUUUUCUCUUUAAAAAAUUUAAUCAUAGUGAGAGUCCACAUUAAAGCAUAACUUUAACUGGUCUUUUAGUUAAGUCUUAUCACUGGCACAAAGAGGUACACUAAGAAAAUGUUUCACUAAAAGAUAACAAACUAACAAGAGUGCUACUUAACUAACUAAUCCCAAGUAUCAUUUAAGAGUAGUUAAGUCUGCCUUAAUAAAGCUGUUAUUAAAAGUGGCCUACUAUAAGAGUGCCUGCCAUGGACCCAGCACUGUCUUAAUGUUUCAUACACAAAACCUCAAGUCCAUAUAAUAACCCUACAAGGAACACAGAUCUGUUAAGUGACUUAGCAAGAUCACAUGCUUAGCGGCAGCACCAGACUCAGAACCCAGGUCUCCCUAUUCUUGCCAUGACGGAGCCUUUCCUCCACAUCUGAAUGCGCUUUGAGUUGAGGAGGGGAAAGAAGUGGGAGGCGGCCGUGAUGCCACGUUCUUGUGCCUUAACCACUAUGUUUUCUUUAUAUACUGGACAUCUGUUUCAGAUUUUACUGGAAAUAAGUUUCAGUCUGCUUCAGUAUGUCUUUCACUUUCUAUUUAUUACCCUCUUUCAUUCGUGGCAGACAGGCUCUCAAAGUCUGGAGAAUGUUUGCAACAAACAAUGCUAUAACAACCUUAGGGACUCCCGACCCUGAAUCAAACUGUAAUACAGCGGAAGAGGUAUUAUAGAAAAGAGCUCGAAAGGGCAACCUACAAUGCAGACAGGUAUACAAAACAUGGUUCCCCUGUAAGAGGACCUGGUUCACAACAUUGGUUAUGAUGCUCAAAACUGUGAAUCAAAGAGGUGCAUUAGUAUUAUAUACUUGCUUUUUGCUACUACUUUUUUGAUGAGAAGAUACAGAGUCACUAUAGGUAACUUUCAUUUAAUUUAAUAUUUAUUUUCAUUUUAUAUCCAGGUCACAUUUUCUACAUUAAAAUAUAAUCAUGCUGACCUCCCCCACCCCCACCCCCUACACCUUCAGAGAAAAAACUGAAGAACUUUACACAACUUGAAAGAAAGAUGGAAUGCACGGAGAAGCUGCUAUUGCACCCAAGGAACAAAGAACACAGAGACCCAACAGGAGACAUGUCAGAAGUGCAUAGAAGACAGCUCAGGGCUCGCAGCAGGAAGGAGGAGGAAUUAAAAGGCUAAAGCUUUUAAUGCUGUCACUUGUGCCACAAGACUACCCUGAAAAGGCAAAGAGGUCGAAAAGCAGGACCCAAUAGGGGAUUUCCCAAAGGCUACUAUCUAACAGAGUUUAAAAUAUCCAUACAUUAAAUUAAAAAAUCCAUAAACACAAGUGCUUUCUCUUCCCCACUUGCCUUUCUAGCAUCUGGUCAACAUUCUAGAAACUUAAAACCACUGUUGGCAUGUCCAAGUGUAGACAGGAUUUUUUUUUUAACUCUUAAAAAAUUGUAUCCCAACUCUUUCCAAGCAAAGUUCUAUUAAUUAUUGUAAUGAUGAUUCUUCUGCAUGGAAACCCAGUAAGGAUCAUUAGGACAGGGCAUCUUGCUGCUCAGAGCGAUGCCAGCAGGGCAAAAGUGGCAUGAUUCUGUGUUAUUCAUAGGGAGGAAGAGCAGUAAGACAUGGACGUUGAAGCUAAUCCGUACCAAAGAGGAAAUGGAAACUCCUUUUCUAGUCUAUCUAUUAGACAGGAAAGAGCAGGCGGGCAGUAAAAACCAUCUGCUGAGAGCAGCGGCACAGACCCCGAGGCAUACCAAAAUCUAAAACCAGCGCUCAGGAAAGCCUCUUGGCUCUGAGAAGUGUCUUUCAGACCCCUCUCUUGUCCCUAGCUUGGAGACCAAAGCACUGUAACUUCAGAUAGUGAUACUAUUGCCAGGGUGGAGAGGCAAGGGCUAAGAGACCCCAAUAAUGAGGACACUAGGCAGUAAGGUACACCACUAUGCACAAAUACACACAUCGAUGAAAAACUCCACCUCCAACUCUCAGCUGCUUUGAAGAAAACGUUGGAAGGAUCCAGGUUUUUCUAAACAGGGGAUAUUUUAAAGUCUGUUAGCAGUUUAAAACAUUGCAACACUGGCACAGUAUGUUACCUAGUCUUUGUUUUUAAUUACAGGGUAACACAGUAAACUCCACA